rnacentral:rRNA from 1 species
UACGUAGGGUGCGAGCGUUGUCCGGAAUUAUUGGGCGUAAAGAGCUCGUAGGCGGUCUGUCACGUCGGCUGUGAAAUCCCGAGGCUCAACCUCGGGUCUGCAGUCGAUACGGGCAAACUAGAGUAUUGCAGGGGAGACUGGAAUUCCUGGUGUAGCGGUAAAAAUGCGCAGAUAUCAGGAGGAACACCGGUGGCGAAGGCGGGUCUCUGGGCAAUAACUGACGCUGAGGAGCGAAAGCGUGGGGAGCGAACAGG